rnacentral:pre_miRNA from 1 species
GGGGGAAGCACCGGAUCCUGGGCUAUGUCCCCUGGCGCCCUGGGCUCCCGGACCUGCACCACUGGAAUCGCUCUCCCGGUCCGUGCAGCCCCCU